rnacentral:rRNA from 1 species
GCCGGCAGAGCACACAGUGCAAGUCGAACGGUAACAGGAAGCAGCUUGCGUGCUUCGCUGACGAGUGGCGGACGGGUGAGUAAUGUCUGGGAAACUGCCUGAUGGAGGGGGAUAACUACUGGAAACGGUAGCUAAUACCGCAUAACGUCGCAAGACCAAAGAGGGGGACCUUCGGGCCUCUUGCCAUCGGAUGUGCCCAGAUGGGAUUAGCUAGUAGGUGGGGUAACGGCUCACCUAGGCGACGAUCCCUAGCUGGUCUGAUAGGAUGACCAGCCACACUGGAACUGAAACACGGUCCAGACUCCUACGGUAGGCACCGAUGGGGAAUAUUGCACAAUGGGCGCACCCCUGAUGCAGCCAUGCCGCGUGAAUGAAAAACGCCUUCGCGUUGCACCGGACUUUCUACCCCCAUCAACGAGACUCAGGCUUGCCAGUAUCACAUGCAGUUCCCAGGUUGAGCCCGGGGAUUUCACAUCUGACUUAACAAACCGCCUGCGUGCGCUUUACGCCCAGUAAUUCCGAUUAACGCUUGCACCCUCCGUAUUACCGCGGCUGCUGGCACGGAGUUAGCCGGUGCUUCUUCUGCGGGUAACGUCAAUGAGCAAAGGUAUUAACUUUACUCCCUUACGUCCCCGCUGAAAGUACGUUACAACCCGAAAGGGCUUCUUCAUACACGCGGCAUGGCUGGCAUCAAGGCUUUGCCCCCAUUGGUGCAAUAUUCCCCACUGGCUGGCUCCCGUAGGAGUCUGGACCGGGGCUCAAUUCCAGGUGGGCUGGGCAUCCUCUCAAACCAACCUAGGAUCUUGUCGCCAUAGUGAGACGCCGUUACU